UUCGCAGUUUUCUUUGCCUGAUUGGUUUCUCUAUCCAUGAGUUUUCUGUGUGCUUCACCGCCGUGGUUUUCUUGGGGUGGCCCCACUUCCCACCCUCCUCUGGAUCUUUGCGGUGGGAUGAUGAUGAUGGUGAUGAUGAUGAUGUGUGUUUUCCACAUUGGUGAUCACUCCAAAGGGCCCCAUCAGGAAAGUGGGAAGUCUUCAUUUUCAAGCAGAAGGUGGAAACUGAGGUUGAGGACUCAACACGGGAAUCUCCUACACUGCACAUGGAUAAUAAUAAAAAUAAAAAGCAGAAGAGACCAGUCGCUUACCCUUUUAUCCAACAAAGGGAUCUCAAUGGCUUAUGUGAGAUCUGAAAGGUGCAUCUAGGAGACUGUCCUUUAUGACAGGGAUGAGCAUUUCUUAUUCCUGUGGAGGAACCAAAAGGGGUAGGAAGUCUUGCUAGC